AGAUUGAACGCUGGCGGCAUGCCUUACACAUGCAAGUCGAACGGCAGCGCGGGGCAACCUGGCGGCGAGUGGCGAACGGGUGAGUAAUAUAUCGGAACGUACCCUGGAGUGGGGGAUAACGCGGCGAAAGUUGCGCUAAUACCGCAUACGAUCUAAGGAUGAAAGCGAGGGGACCGCGAAGGCCUUGUGCUCCGUGGAGCGGCCGAUAUCUGAUUAGCUAGUUGGGUAGGGUAAAGGCCUACCGAAGGCAUCGAUCAGUAGCUGGUCUGAGAGGACCGACCAGCCACACUAGGAACUGACGACCGACGGU
rnacentral:rRNA from 1 species